GUGAAUCUCAUAUCUUGUAAGAGUGGAAGCAUAUACUCCAAGACCACACCAUAAUCUCUCUAAACAAGCAGAAAUGUCCCAAGCAACAAGAAAACGCCUGCGAAGAUGGUUGUGGUGUACUUGAAUUAUAAACAGACGAUGGCAAUAUUUUCUCGUUUCUUCUCGAGUAACUUGGAAAACUAAUUUCCAUUUAUCAGACAAAAAAUGAUACAUG
rnacentral:misc_RNA from 1 species